UCGACGCAUGUGCAACCCACGGCGCCCCUGAGAGUUCUUACACACUACAACGCGCAGGACUGACAAAAUGCCAGAGAACUGUAGUGCUUUAGGAUGUACUAACAGAUAUGGAGAUAAGGCUGGUUUAACUUUUCACCGCUUUUCGGUGUACCCAAAAACAUGAGAAAAUGGAGGCGGUCCUGUUGUGUCAGGAGACUGGGAGUUAUACCUGCACCUACUCAGAUCCUGAUUACUAUAUAAGAGAACUGAUGCAGCCAAUUUUCUCUCUUUCCCUCCCUCCUUCCAUCCAUCAGGCUGGACAUUUGGGUUUUGUUUUGGGUGUGGUUAGUCUUAUUUUUAUUUAAUCAUUUACAAUACCUUUCCUCUCAUUCACACACUCACUACACUACUGACUUACAUAAUUUUAACUGGUUUUCAUGUUUGUUUUAAUAUUAGUUAAAUAAAAUUAGGUUAUAUGCUAA